rnacentral:tRNA from 1 species
UGCUGGGUAGCUCAAUUGGCAGAGCCCACGCAUUGUAGCUGGAGGUUACGGGUUCGAGUCCCGCCCCAGCAG